CCACCCCUCCCUUUUUCAGUUCCCCCCCAACAGUCUGAAGAAGGGUUGCGACUCAAAACGUCACCAAUCCAUGUUCUCCAUAGAUGUGUGGGACGGAACUGCAGAUGCUGGUUUAAACUGAAGAUAGACACAAUAAACUGGAGUAACUCAGAAGGACAGGCAGUGUCUCUGAAGAGGAAGAAUGGGUGAUGUUUCGGGUCGAGACCCUUCUUCAGAUAUUCAGAGAGCAACCUCCACAGAUGCUGCCUGUUCUGCUGAGUUACUCCAGUACUGUUCAAUCUGAGGAAGGGUCCUGACCCAAAACGUCACCUGUCCAUGUUCUCCACAGAUGCUGCCUGUCCCGCUGAGUUACUCCAGCAUUUUGUGUGUGUGUGUGUGUGUUGCUAUUGCAAGUGCUCCUGCUGGUGGUGAAGUUAGUGAGGUGUUCUGAUAUAAACCUCACUAAACAUAUGAUCUCUACAAAUCGACAACACUAUCCCCACUGACAUGUUUACUGCUGUAAGCCCACCCUGCCCGAGGCAGCUCGGUUGGGUAAAACCACCUUGACUCUGCUUGACCAAGCUCUUUGAUACAGCGUGUCCUGUUGGAAAGUGGAAAAGCUUCGCAUUUGUUUUUCAUUGAGGAUUGCAUAGAUUGUCACACGGUGGGUGGCGCAGCGGGUAGAGCUGCUGCCUCACAGCGCCAGAGAUUCGGGUUCAAUCCUGACUUCGGGUGCUGUCUGUGUGGAGAACGUGCAAACUCCACACAUACAGCAGCCGAGGUCAGGAACUAACCUGGGACUCUGGCACUGUGAGGCCUGCUGGUUAAAGCAGGAAAAUAUUAAAUCUGAAACUUGAUAAUUUUGUGAACAAACUACCUGUACAAUAUCUUAACGAUUUUUUUUGUUUACAUCAAUUGGUUUACAUUAUUUGAUUGGUUAAUGAUGCAGAAUUAUGACUGCUUACCGCAGGUUUACUGAGGCAUCAAGAGGUAAUAUUCCUCCUUCAGAGAGGACUUGGGUAACCCAGGGACCAGCACAUGAAUGUUAUCAAAAUAUGAAUCAAGCGAAUUUGCAAUAUAAAUGAGGGGAACUGAUGCUGACCAGUUGUACUGGUAGUGAGGCAAGAAUGUUGUAAUUAUUUAAUAUCAGUUGUCAAUAAAGUAUAAUCAUACAAAUUCAA